UUUUGUGCUAAAAAUAUACCAUAUAAAAAAGUGAAAAGACAAGCAACAUAAUAUUAGGAGAAAAUAUUUGCAUAUCAGAUACUUCAAAAUAUGAAAAGGACUCUUACAACUCAAUGAUAAAAAUAACCAAUUAAAAAUGGGUUAACAGAUUGUAAUAGACAUUUCUUCAAAGAAAAUAUGUGUUUUAGUAUGCUUGGGUUGCUAUAACAUACUACCAUAGACUGAUUGUCUUAAAUAACAUUUAUUUCUCACAGUCCUGGAGACUGGGAAAUCUGAGAGCAAGAUGCCAGCAGAUUCAAUGCCUUGUGAGGGCCCACUUUAUGGUUUGCAGAUGGCUACCUUGUGGCUGUGUCCUCAGCAAAGACAGAAAGGGAUCUGGUCUCGGCCAGGCGCGGUGGCUCACGCCUGUAAUCCCAGCACUUUGGGAGGCCGUGGCGGGCGGAUCAGGAGGUCAGGAGAUCGCAACCAUCCUGGCUAACACGGUGAAACCCCAUCUCUACUAAAAAAAAUACAAAAAAAUUAGCAGGGCAUGGUGGCAGGUGCCUGUAGUCCCAGCUAGUCGGGAGGCUGAGGCAGGAGAAUGGCGUGAACCCAGGAGGCGGAGCUUGCAGUGAGCAGAGAUUGAGCCACUGCACUCCAGCCUGGGUGACUGAGCGAGAUUCUGUCUCAAAAAAAAGAAAGGGAUCUGGUCUCUUCCCCUUCUUAUAAGGGCAUUAUAAUUUCAUUAUGAAUGCCUACUCUUGUGACUUCAUCUAAACCAAUUUACCUCUCAAAGGCCCCACCUCCAUAUGCCAUCACAUUGGGGAUUAGGGCUUCAGCAUGUGAGUUUGGAGAGGACACAAACAUUCAGCUUAUAGCAAUAUGCAACUGGCUAGCAAGCACAGGGAAAGAUGCUCAAGCACUACUAUUCAUUAGGGAAAUGCAAAUCAAGACCACAAUGAGAUACCACUUCAUACCCACUAGAAUAGCUAUAUCAAAAAGCCAAACAAUAACAAGUGUUGGUGAGGAAAUGAAGAAAUUGGAACACUCAUACAUUGCUGAUGGGGAUGUAAAUUGAUGCAACCUCAUUGAAAAACAGCUUGGCAGUUUCUCCAAAUGUUAAACAUAGAAUUUCCACAUGACUUAGCAAUUCCAUCCCUAGGUAUAUACCCAAGAGAAUUGGAAACAGGUGUUCAAACAAAAGCGUGAACAUGAAUGUUUAAAGUGGCAUUACUCAUAAUAGCCAAAAAGUGGAAAUGACCCAAAUGUCCAUCCACUGAGGAAUGGAUAAACAAACUUUGAUAUAUGCAUACAGUAGGGUAUUAUUUAGCCAUAAAAAUGGAUAAAAUACUGAUACAUGUAACAUUGAUGAACCUUGAAAAUAUGCUAAGUGAAAGGAGCCAAUCACAAAAGACCACAUAUUGUAUGAUUUAAUUUAUAUGAAAUGUCCCAAACAGGCAAAUCUAUAAAGGUAGAAAGCAGAUUAGUGGUUGUCAAGGCUGGGGGCUCAGGGGCAAUAGGCAUGGGGUUUCUUUUGGGGAUGAUGAAAAUAUUAUAAAAUUAGAUUGUCAUCCUGGUUGUCCAACUCUGAAUGUACUGGAAACCAUUGAAGUAUACAUUUUAAAUGGGUGUGCUAAAUGGUAUAUGAAUUAUUUCUCAAUAAGUGUGUUUUUUUAAAAAAGCUAUUGAUUAUUUCCAUCAGUCUCAUUCCUCUUGACAAAAAUCUGAGUUGAUGGUGAGCAUGUACUUCAUUCCUGACUCCAAAGGGUACAAUAUUUACAAUAUUUGAAUUUGGGAGUGACUUUACUAUUACAACCUUCCCCUUGAAGACCUGGAAGACCCAGCAACAUAAGGACAAACAGUAGUCUCAGCCUUGUACUAAGACUUCAGCAAAAAUAAGAGAGAUGGGAGGGACUACUAUUGGGAAGGAGGGGCAAUAUUUCUAGGCAAAUAUUGUGGUAGAAUGGAUAAGAGCUUCGGCUCAUUGGGCAAAUAAACCAAGUUUUAAAUCCUGAUUCUACC
rnacentral:lncRNA from 10 species